rnacentral:rRNA from 1 species
UUGAACUGCGAACCCUGAGAAUUCAACUGGUGAGUGUGGUAUGAGCUUGGCAUAAUGGUUGGCUCUGCGGGUCUGCUUAGCUGCAGGUCUUCACCUUUUGGUGGAGAUGCGCGAUACACUUGUCAAGUGGUGCGCGCUCGUUGGGUAACUCGGACAUGCUUGCCAGUGCACUUUCUCGGGGUGUUCACCACGACCGGCGCCGCUACUUGUCUAAUAUGGUUAAACCGGUCUUGCUUGGUCCUUGUGGCUUUGCUUGAUCGGGAUGGCAGGUAACUCGUUGACUUGUAUGUCGGCUACGGUUGACAUGCGCUUGGUUUUCGAGUGUAAUCAGCUGACCGUAUUGGUGCUAUGUAGUGCGUCGGAGACGGCGGCUUGUGGUGUGUGCCUGCGUGCCUAUUUGCUGACGGAACCGGGUUUGGUUAUUAUGUUGCCUGUUCUG